UCUAUUCUCUCUCUAUCACUAAAUCUGUUUCUCUCAUUUAAUCUUGCAAAACCGGUAAUUUUCAUCACCUCCAAGAACCGAUAAUACUUGACAGUUCGUUUUCAGUUUGCAGGGUUUUACAAAUCGGUCGAUUGAUUGAUGCCAUGUUUGAUUUCUACCUGACUACCUGUUCAAAGCAUUUUCUCUAGUUUUUUGGCUUUUGGGUUUUACAAAAGGGUCGACUUAUUCAGUUUUAUGUGUUUUAUUGGAAGGAUUCAGUUAGAAACCCCCAAUUAGGUUAAUACGACUUUCAAUGGAUUAUACGUUAGUUGUGUGUGUGAUUACAAUAUAUAUUAACUUACAUUACUUUUUGAUAAGAAUAGUAUUUUGGUUAUGUUGUAUUUGUUAUUCAAUUUGUAUCAGUUUUAAGAUGACCUAGUAUUUUAUUCUUUAUUUAUUGAAGCAUUGUUAUUGCUUAACUGCUUUUUAGCUCUAAUAUUUUUGCCAUUGUUGAAGCUGGUGAACAGGUAGUUCAAAUAUGCUAGUUAAUUCAAUUGUUAUUACGCAACAUAAUAACAUAUGUAAUUUGGUCAUCAUCUUUCCCUGAAAUAUGAUAGGUAUCCUUAUCUACAAAGCGUUUUAUGCUUGUUUUAUAACGAAAGUAGAUCUACAUGCAAAUCUGCUACUCGCACCCGUCAGGCAACGAAAAAACCUACACCGGUGGAAAUAAAUCCUGGCUCCGCCACUGGUUUCAAUUGCUGAAGACACCUGUAUGGAUCAUUCCUGAACCUAAUGCCCUCUACAUUCAGGGGCAGAUGUUAGGAUAGACUGCAAAUUUAAUGCAGUACACCAAGUACCACCAAGCACAUAUUAUUCUUGGUUAACUGGACUACAAAACCACUACAUGGUCGCUCCUGAUCUUGCCUGUUUUGCAAGGGAUACACUAGAUGAUGUGGUAUAUCUUGUAUUUUCUUAAUAUAUUUUGAACAAUGCUGCAUCAACAAAUGAAGAACUACAAACCUAUAGUGGAUAGCAACCCUACGGUAGAUCCUUUUUGGUUGUAAUGAACAAAGAGAAUUACGGAUAUUGCAUACUUUAUGAUAGAGACGUUACAAAUACAUUGAUAUAAAAAUGGAUGGUGCUUGUUCAUCAUACAUGAUUAUGGUAGGGGCUAAUGGAAUCAUUCAAAGCAAAUGUGGAAGUUGAGAAAAACCAGUUGCUGGAAGGAAAUACAUAGAGAGAUUGAAGAGGAUCAUGAAAGGAGAAAAAGCCGAGCUCAUUGAUACAAAAGGUUAUGUAACAACUAUAAGUUGGAGAUUGGGAUGAGUAGAAUGUUUUCAUUACUCUUUAUCCUUGUAAUUGGCACUUUGUGUUAACUAUAUUGCUAUUUGAGUUUGAACAAGU